CUACGGGCCGCUCCAGUGGGGAAUAUUGCACAAUGGAGGAAACUCUGAUGCAGCAACGCCGCGUGGAGGAUGACACUUUUCGGAGCGUAAACUCCUUUUAUAUAGGAAGAAGAUGACGGUACUAUAUGAAUAAGCGCCGGCUAACUCCGUGCCAGCAGCCGCGGUAAUACGGAGGGCGCAAGCGUUACUCGGAAUCACUGGGCGUAAAGAGCGUGUAGGCGGAUUAAAAAGUCAGAAGUGAAAUCCUAUAGCUUAACUAUAGAACUGCUUCUGAAACUCUUAAUCUAGAAUAUGGGAGAGGUAGAUGGAAUUUCUGGUGUAGGGGUAAAAUCCGUAGAGAUCAGAAGGAAUACCGAUUGCGAAGGCGAUCUACUAGAACAUUAUUGACGCUGAGACGCGAAAGCGUGGGGAGCAAACAGGAUUAGAUACCCGCAUAGUC
rnacentral:rRNA from 1 species